CACGGCUUCCUUUAAUACUUAGAUGGCUAGAUCAGUUAGUUUUUCAAAUCACUAGGUUGUAAACACUAAGCAGAUUUCUGACAUACAAGUAAUGUUCUAGGAACUGCUUUUUUGCAAGCAGCAGAUAACUUAUAGAGAGCUUUGAACUGCAUUUAUUUCUAAAGCAACUGAAGUCUAGUGCUACAAACAGAGGAUUACAACUUCUGAGAAGAAUAAGCAGAAAGAGCAGAUGAACUCUCAGGGCCAUAGUCUUCCUUUGAUCUUGUAAAACUCCAAUUGACAUCUGGAGUUCCUAGUCUGGUGAGAAAAUAGACUAUAAACCAAAUGGAACAAUGAUCCUAUCCAAUAUUUUGGUGGAGACUUUAAAACCAGACCAUACAAGGACUCACCUGAUGUCCAGAAAAACUGACAAAAAAAGUACAGAAUUAUUUUCUAUCAAAUGUUUUUAGGUGGCUACUAAGCAUCUUUAAAAAAAUAUCAAAUGUUGUAUGGAAACAAAACUAAAUGUUAUUUUCUUUAUCUAAAUUAAUCUCUUGUUAUUGUUAUUUAUGGUUUUCUGGAUCCUUUAUUUUUAAAAAUCUAAUAUUAGUGAUAUCAUUUCUCUUCCUUCAUCUUUUUGUUUUUGUUUUUAGCAACCAUAAAUUCCAGUGGAAUAAUUUAAAAAAGACAACAGAAAGUCCAAAUACAAUUUGCUAUUCAAAGUAAAUUAUUAUUUGAAGCCACUUUAAAAACUCUUGAGAAGGAAAAUGGAAUGGGAUAUGGGAUUAGGACUAUUUAAUUUUUAAACACUAUUCUUAUUAUUUAAUGUUAACAUUUCCUCUGUUUCUUAGAGGGUGAAGGGUUGAUAUUAAAUUGGCAAAUGCACUCUUUGGAAAUCCUUUUCCAUUUUGUCCACAUGGCAGGGUUAAACAUUUAAUUUCAUGGCCUCUGUGCAUAUAGUGCUCUCUCACAGUAUGCAAGAGUAUUACCUGCAAGGAUAGAAUGCAGUUGUGCAACAUAGACACAUUCUUGUUUCUCUUGGUUUUCUGUUUUUAAUGACCCACUUAUUGAAUAUUGGGCUGAAAUAUAAAUUUAAAAAAUCACCUUGGAAAGGAUGUACAACAGAAGGCUGUGUGUGUAUAUACAGUAUGUUAAAAAGC
rnacentral:lncRNA from 1 species